rnacentral:rRNA from 1 species
AUUGAACGCUGGCGGCAUGCCUUACACAUGCAAGUCGAACGGCAGCACGGGAGCAAUCCUGGUGGCGAGUGGCGAACGGGUGAGUAAUAUAUCGGAACGUGCCCAGUCGUGGGGAUAACGUAGCGAAAGCUACGCUAAUACCGCAUACGAUCUAUGGAUGAAAGCGGGGGAUCGCAAGGACCUCGCGCGAUUGGAGCGGCCGAUAUCAGAUUAGGUAGUUGGUGAGGUAAAGGCUCGCCAAGCCGACGAUCUGUAGCUGGUCUGAGAGGACGACCAGCCACACUGGGACUGAGACACGGGCCCAGACUCCUACGGGAGGCAGCAGUGGGGAAUUUUGGACAAUGGGCGCAAGCCUGAUCCAGCAAUGCCGCGUGCAGGAUGAAGGCCUCGGUUGUAAC